AGUGAACGCUGGCGGUAGGCCUAACACAUGCAAGUCGAACGGCAGCACAGUAAGAGCUUGCUCUUACGGGUGGCGAGUGGCGGCCGGGCGCGGAAUACAUUGGAAUCUACUUUUUCGUGGGGGAUAACGUAGGGAAACUUACGCUAAUACCGCAUACGACCUACGGGUGAAACCAGGGACUCUUCGGACCUCGCGCGAUCGAAUGAGCCGAUGUCGGAUUAGCUAGUUGGCGGGGUAAAGGCCCACCAAGGCGACGAUCCGUAGCUGCUCUGAGAGGAUGACCAGCCACACUGGAACUGAGACACGGUCCAGACUCCUACGGGAGGCAGCAGCGGGGAACAUUGGACAAUGGGCGCAGACCUGAUCCAGCCAUACCCCGUACGUGAAGAAGGCCUUCGCGUUGUAAAGCCCUUUUGUUGCGAAAGAAAAGCAGCAGGUUAAUACCCCGCUGUUCUGACGGUACCCAAGGAAUAAGCACCGGAUAACUUCGUG
rnacentral:rRNA from 1 species